rnacentral:rRNA from 1 species
AUUGAACGCUGGCGGCAGGCCUAACACAUGCAAGUCGAACGAGUGGCGGACGGGUGAGUAAUGUCUGGGAAACUGCCUGAUGGAGGGGGAUAACUACUGGAAACGGUAGCUAAUACCGCAUAACAACGGAAGUACCCAGAUGGGAUUAGCUAGUAGGUGGGGUAAAGGCUAACCUAGGCGACGAUCCCUAGCUGGUCUGAUAGGAUGACCAGCCAGCAGGGAACUGAGAGACGGUCCAGACGCCUACGGGAGGCAGCAGUGGGGAAUAUUGCACAUUGGGCGCAAGCCUGAUGCAGCCAUGCAGAGUGUAUGAAGCAGGCCUUCGGGUUUUAACGUACUUUCAGCGGGGAGGCGUUACCCGCAGCAGAAGCACCAGCUAACUCCGUGCCAGCAGCGGCGGUAAUAC